rnacentral:rRNA from 1 species
AUUGAACGCUGGCGGCAGGCCUAACACAUGCAAGUCGAACGAGUGGCGGACGUGUGAGUAAUGUCUGGGAAACUGCCUGAUGGAUGGGGUUCACUACUGGACACGGUAGCUAAUACCGCAUACCAUAAGAUUAGCCCGGGUGGGACUCGCUGGUUGGUGGGGUAACGGCUAACCAAGGCGACGAUCCCUAGCUGGUCUGAGAGGAGGACCAGCCACACUGGAAAUGAGACACGGUCCAGACUCCUACGGGAGGCAGCAGUGGGGAAUAUUGCACAAUGGGCGAAAGCCUGAUGCAGCCAUGCCGCGUGUAUGAAGAAGGCCUUCGGGUUGUAAAGUACUUUCAGCGGGGAGGCGUUACCCGCAGAAGAAGCACCGGCUAACUCCGUGCCAGCAGCCGCGGUAAUUC